UAAUAGGUUUUUUUUAAAACCAAAGAAUAAUAACUGAUUGGUUGUG
rfam:Pongo abelii chromosome 5.